rfam:Zea mays cultivar B73 chromosome 4, whole genome shotgun sequence.
ACUUGUUUAGCUCAGUUGGUAAAAUAUAAGGCUCUUAAUCUUGUGGUCGUGGGUUCGAGCCCCACAGUGGGUG